rnacentral:rRNA from 1 species
UUCCUACGGGAAGCAGCAGUGGGGAAUAUUGCACAAUGGGCGAAAGCCUGAUGCAGCGACGCCGCGUGAGGGAUGACGGCCUUCGGGUUGUAAACCUCUUUCAGCAGGGAAGAAGCGAAAGUGACGGUACCUGCAGAAGAAGCGCCGGCUAACUACGUGCCAGCAGCCGCGGUAAUACGUAGGGCGCGAGCGUUGUCCGGAAUUAUUGGGCGUAAAGAGCUCGUAGGCGGCUUGUCGCGUCGGUUGUGAAAGCCCGGGGCUUAACCCCGGGUCUGCAGUCGAUACGGGCAGGCUAGAGUUCGGUAGGGGAGAUCGGAAUUCCUGGUGUAGCGGUGAAAUGCGCAGAUAUCAGGAGGAACACCGGUGGCGAAGGCGGAUCUCUGGGCCGAUACUGACGCUGAGGAGCGAAAGCGUGGGGAGCGAACAGGAUUAGAUACCCUGGUAGUCCACGCCGUAAACGUUGGGCGCUAGGUGUGGGCAGCGUCCACGUUUCCGUG